rnacentral:lncRNA from 1 species
UUUGUGCAUAUAUUUAGGCAUUUAUAAUUUUAACUUUCCCUUUCAACAACAAGUGAAACAGAGGAUCAUUUAAAAAGACUUAGGCCUUCACAGCACUUCACUAGAAGCCUUGUUCUUCUCCCAGUGAUACUAUCCCAACUUAGAACACUUCUGUACCUACCUUUGGAGGCAAUUUCCUAGGCAGGGAAGAAAGUCAUUCUCGUUAAUAGGACAGAGUUCAGUAAAUUAUUUGGUCCAUGGGCCACAUCUAACCUGCUGCCUGUUUGGUACAGCCUACGACCUGUGAAUGAUUUCUACCUUUCUAAAUGGUUAAAUAGAAAAAUGAAAAGAAUAGUAAUAAUUGAUAACAUGAAAAUUAUAUCAAAUUUAAGUGAAUGAAAUUCUAAAAGGCAAAUAUCAAGAGAUGAAUCUAAAGAAUCGUAUAAAAAACGUCCAAAUUAUGAAUGUGCAUACAUGCUAGUAGACUAAUAUCUAUAUUCGGCAAAACCUGUAUGUGUGAAAAGAUGUUUUAAAUAAGACUUAAUAAAUGUUAUGGGCCCACUCAUAAGAUAAAAAUUGAUUUUACAUAAAAUUUCUGAGCAUUUAUGACCCUUCUGAAGACAAUAAAUAAAUAAAUAGACUCUCAAGUUAAGAACCUCUAUUUGUGGUUGAGGGGGGAGCGUUGAAGAAGAAAUAUAUAGAAAGCUUUUCCUUAAAACAAAUUACUCUAUGAAGUGAUCCUUUUACUGUGACACCUAUAUGUGCUUCUUCCCUUUUCUUUCCCUUUCAUGAACCAGCAGCAAACCUGCUAGCCAAGGAAAGAUGAAUGAUCUCACCAGGAAGUGAGUAAAUUACUUUCACAUACCAUAAAGUCAUCAACUUUUGACAUAUUUUACUUUAUAAAUGUAUCAAUUAUAUACCAAAGAUGACUUGAGAAACCAGUGAGCUACACCUGAGGCCAGAUACAUUGGCUCACACCUGUAAUCCCAGCACUUUGGGAGGCCCAGGCAGGUGGAUCACUUGAGGCCAGGAGUUCAAAACCAGCCUGGUCAACAAACAUCAAAUUAUCACAUACCAUAUAAUUAAUAAAAAGAGGUAAAUACAGUGGUGGCAGAGUGAAAAGGACUCUAAGAACCUUAACAGCAGGACUAACUCAGGUGGUCCCACACGUACACACGCGCGCAGGCACCCGCGCACACACACACGCACACCCUGAGUGGGUGUCUUAUAUGUGGAGGAAGAGAAUUUGGAAUCAUGAAAGGAAGAGUUCAUCAGGUGGAAAAGAGAGGAAUACAAUCAUUUCACUUUCUUUUUCCACCUAAAUCCCCUAAGGAAAAAUCCAAAUAGCCAACUUGUAUGAGAUAAAGUUAAAAAUAAAACAAAACAGUAUAAUUUGUUUAAAUUUUAAAAGUAAUGAAAACCCAAAUGCUUAGAACACAAAGGAAACCAAGAAGAGGGAAGAAGAGGAGAAAAGGAGGAAGGAAAUAAGGGAAGGAAGGAGAGAGAGGAGAAGGGAGGAAGGCAGGCGGGCAGGCAGGAAGGAAAAAAGGUCUUCACUUGAACUUAUUACCCAAAAUAACUACUUUAACACAUUGGUAUAUUUCUUUCUAGUGUUUGCAUUUGUGUGUAUAAAAUAUAUAUUAAUAAGUGGCACUAUUGCCAAAAUAAAAUAAUAAUACUCCUUUCCUGCUUUUGUUAAUUAGUAAUGUAUCCUCAACAUUUUUCAUGCAACUAAUGCAUCUUUACAUUAUCAUGAUUCGCAGCCAUACAGUAUUUUACUAUAUAGUGAUGUCAUAAUUUAUUUAACUAAUUCCAUUAUAUUAAAAAUAUAUCAUUCAUGAUUUCAAUAAAAUAUAUAAAAUAUAUGUUAAUAUAUCAUAUAUAAUGAAUAUAUUUUAUUAACAUAUAACAUGAUUUUUAUAUGCAUUCCUAAUAUGUCACAGGAUGAAGUCCUAAGAAUUAAAUUGAUGCAGAAAGGGUGGAUGUAUUUUCAAGGCUUUUGGCACACAUUAUCACAGAAACUUAUCACCAAUUUAUAAUCUCAUCAGAUAGUGUGAAUGUGACAGAAUCUAAUUCCUUAAUCAUUCUAAAGAGAUUUUUUAGAAUUAAAAAAAACUAUAUAUAACAUCACACUUUGAAAUUAAUGGGCAUAUUCUUUUAAAUGAAAAGGGCAAAAUUAAAUAUUAACUGUUAAUCCCCUUCUGUACCUACAAAUUUGCAUUACAUGCUAUAGUUUUCUUUCUCAGGUGAGGGUUCUGACAGUUUCCCUUCCUCAUCUUUUUUGAAUUUUCUCGUUACUUCUUCCAAUGGCAAGAGUGUUCUAAUAAAUUAAACUUGGUCAUAGUUAAUAUUUCUUAAUUUUUGAUGCUAAUUCCUAUUUCUGCUUUUAUAAUGAACAAGAAAGAGAAAGUUGUUGUUGUUUUUUGAGUGAAAUCUUCAUCUCAAUGAACAGAGAAAUAAGCUUGGUGUUAAAAGCUACUAUUUGCAUGCACAUCCAAGACAGAGUAAGGUAAGCAAGUCUUCCUUUUUUGUGUUACAAUUGAAUUUAACAAACAUUUCCUGGAUGUCUGUUAGAUCCUGCGUCAAGCUCUGGAAAAUUUGGUUUACUAACUUGUUUAAUAGAGAAAAUAAUCCUUUCUCCAGAUUUCCCUUUAUUAUUAACUUUAUAACAUCUAUGAAACACUUCAAACUUUCCAGAGCAGAUUUUACCUGUAUAUGGAAGGCCAGUUCCUGGCAUUCUGCACAUAUUUCGAUCCCAAAAAAGCAUUUUUAAAGGAAAGAAACAAUAUAAUAAUUCUACUCUGUAGUAACUUAAAGCAUCAUGUGGAACUGAACUUUCCAAACUAUGGGUUGAGGUGUUCUGAAGCACUGCAGCAAACCCAUAGGAUCACAUGGAACAUUAAAAAUUCUUGAGGGAAUCACAGCAUUACCUAUCAACACAUGCAAAUGCUACUGUUAAGUUGUUUGGACCCAAUUACUAUUAGGAAUUUCUUUUGGCCUAAAAGGCACCAUGAAAAAUAAUAGAAGAGCACCAUAAAUCAAGACAGUUUGGAACCUUGGGUUGGACACUUCAGGUACAGGGUAGAAACAACAGGAUGGGGACCCUAUUCUCUAGAAAUUUAUAUUUUAAAUUUACAAGGCACACUUGUAUAGUAAAGGAUCAACCUUGCCUAAAGAAAGGUUUGCCUCUUGCCUUCAGCUCCUGAGAGGUAACCUCAAAGCUUUUGGAAUGGCCAGCCAGAGGAGUGUCUUUAUUUGACUUGGGGUCCUUGAGCCAUGCCACAUAGUCUGUGCUAACAAUGUGAUUUAUGUUGGGGGCCUUGAGUCAGGCAGUAUAGGCUUGACCUCUGGAGGUGCUAGAAACUAAGGUCAGCUAUGUGGGUGGUUAUCCCCCAAUAAAAACCCCAGACACCAAGGCUCAGGUGAGUUUCCUGGUUGGUAAUACUCAAUGCACAAAGUCACACAUUAUUGCUAGGAGAAAUAAGCAUUGUUUGCACAACUCCACCAGGAAAAGACCACUGGUAACUCUGUCUGGUCUCUCCUGGACCAUGCUUUAUGUGCCUUUUCUUGGUGUUGAUUUUAAUCUGUGUCCUUUCACUGUAAUAAACUAUAAUUGUGGGUAAACAGCUUUGCUGAAUUCUGUGAGUCCUUCUAUAGCAGUAUUGAACCUGAGAGUAGUCUUGGAAGCUCCUGACUGCCACUGACUAACCACUACAUCGUUAACUUUUAUAGGUUUUCAUUUGUGAUUUUUUUCCCCAGUAGAAAGAUGUCAUUGAGAAGAUAUAGCAUCCACUAAUGUAAGAACAAGUUUAAUAUAAAAAAUAGCCAAUCUUGCCACACAAGAAAGUUCAUUUUAUCGGGUAAUAUAGAUAAGAAACCUGCCAUUUUUAUUUAUGAGCUAUAUGAAAUUGGUUUUGACAUUUUGCAUGACAAAAUCAACAAGAGUAUUAAAUGAUUCUGAAAGUUUUGAAACUGACAGCUUAAGUGAUACAGUAGUAUUUAUUUUAAAAUAUGGCAAAUAAUUUUAUCUAUUUAUGUUUUAAGAUACUGCUACCAAGUUGGAAUGGGAGAACCCAGCUGCCAUCCUUUGCAGAAUGUUAAAUACCACAAGCUGUUUUACAAACAUUGUGUUAUCAGUAAAACUCAAAAUAUUUUCCCAAAUACUUUCUAAAAAUUUCCCAACAUGCAAGUAUUUUAAAAAGCUUUUUACUUACAUAUUCCUAACUCGUUUACAUAUUAUUUUUUCUUAGCUUUGUAAGACUUUGGAGCUUCUAUUAAGAGCUUUAUGACAAUGAUGUUUGUUCCAUAUUUGUAUGGGAAAGAUACCAGACCAUACAAGUAAAUAUCUUUAUCCUAGUUCUAUAGUUCCAUUAAUUGUCCAUUUGCCUGCACUUUUUUGGGCCUCAUGUUUUACUUCUAUAAAUUGGGCAGAUUGAACUGAAUGACUCUAGGCUUCAUCUCAAUACAAAAUUAUCAUUUCAACUUAAUGUAUAUGAAUCACUACUUGUGUACAUUGUUGUGGUACACAUAGGGCCUAUAAAUGGUCAAUUCAAGCCCUGAGGAAUCUUGCAAUUACAUAAAGAAGACAGAUCCUUCACUAUAAUAUCAGAGAGAUUUUGGUGGAUACAAUUAGAGAACUGUAAACUCAGGACUCUGGGAGUUGCAAUGCAGGGGUCAUUUCUUCCUAGGGGGAUCUUAGAAUGCUUCAUGGAGGGCCUGGAAGAUGAGUUAGAUUUUUACAGAUGGAGAAGGUGGAAAAUACAGUAAGUAUUUUAGAAGAUGGACUAUAUAAGCUAUCUACAUGAUAGCAGAACAUGUAGAGUGCCUUGAGUGGCACUGGUCCUUGAUGUCUUGAUUGUACGAAUUGUCCUGUAUGUCUGAUUGUAUGUUAUUUGUUAAGAAAGAACAAGAGAUGAGGCAGGAAAGAUAAGCUGACGCAAAGUUUUUUAGGGACUGUAUUAGUCCAUUCUUAUGCUGCUAAUAAAGAUAUACCCUAGAGUAAUUCAUAAAGGAUAGAGGUUUCAUUGACUCAUAAUUCUGCAUGGCUGGGGAGGCCUCAAUAAACUUAAAAUCAUGGCAGAAGGGGAAGCAAAUGCACCCUUCUUCACAUGGCAGUAGCAAGGAGAGGAAUGAGAGCAAAGUCAGGGGAAAGCCCCUUAUAAAACCAUCAGAUAUCAUGGGAACUCAUUCACUAUCACUAGAACAGCACGGAGGUAACCUCCUCCAUGAUUCAAUCACCUCCCACUGGGUCCCUCCCACAACACAUUAUGGGAACUACAAUUCCAGAUGAGAUUUGAGUGGGGCACAGCCAAACCAUUCAGGGACUUUGUGCAAGAUAGUUCUAUUUUCUUCUAGAUUCUCUUUCUUCUCUUGUCCUCCCUCUGUGCCACUGGAGGCUGAUCCACAGAGGCACACAUCAAUGGCUUCAAUUACCCUCUGUCUUUCAAUUUAGUUCAACGAAUGAAAGGUAACUGCAGGUAAUCAGAGGGCUGAGGAUGUUUAUUUUUUCAGCUCUCAAUCUGCCAUUUACCUGUAUGCUGUAUUGAAGGCCAUAGGUGCUACCAUAUCUGGGUUCUAAAAGUUUCUCCCUUUGGGCCAAAGGGAGUUGUAUUAGUUUCCUAGGACUGCUGUAACAAAGUACCAUACACUGGAUACAUUAAAACAACAAAAAUUUAUUUUCUCAUAGUUCUGAAAUCAAGUCGUUGACAGGGCCAGGCUCCCUCUGAAACCUGUAGGGAAUAGCCCUUCCUUGCCUCUUCUAGCUGUUGGUGCUUGCUAACAAUCCUCGGUGUACCUCAGCUGGUGGCUGCAUCACUCUAAUCCCCACCAUCUUCUCCCAA